rnacentral:tRNA from 1 species
GGCAGUGACAUGUAAUGGUUAUGAGGGUGGACUUUAACCACACUGCCUAGGUUCAAAUCCUGACUCUGUCA